rnacentral:rRNA from 1 species
UACAGAGGUCUCAAGCGUUGUUCGGAUUCAUUGGGCGUAAAGGGUGUGUAGGUGGCGCCGUAAGUCGGGUGUGAAAUCUCGGAGCUUAACUCCGAAACUGCAUUCGAUACUGCGGUGCUUGAGGACUGGGGAGGAGACUGGAAUUCAUGGUGUAGCAGUGAAAUGCGUAGAGAUCAUGAGGAAGACCAGUGGCGAAGGCGGGUCUCUGGACAGUUCCUGACGCUGAGGUGCGAAAGCGUGGGGAGCAAACAGG